rnacentral:rRNA from 1 species
CACGUAGGGGGCUAGCGUUGUCCGGAAUCAUUGGGCGUAAAGCGCGUGUAGGCGGCCCGGUAAGUCCGCUGUGAAAGUCGGGGGCUCAACCCUCGAAAGCCGGUGGAUACUGUCGGGCUCGAGUGCGGAAGAGGCGAGUGGAAUUCCUGGUGCAGCGGUGAAAUGCGCAGAUAUCAGGAGGAACACCGAUUGCGAAGGCAGCUCGCUGGGACGUUACUGACGCUGAGACGCGAAAGCGUGGGGAGCAAACAGG